rnacentral:rRNA from 1 species
ACUCCUACGGGAGGCAGCAGUGGGGAAUAUUGGACAAUGGGGGAACCCUAGAUCCAGCCAUGCCGCGUGUGUGAAGAAGGCCUUCGGGUUGUAAAAGCACUUUCAGUGGGGAGGAAAGGUUGAUGGUUAAAUACCUAUCAGCUGUGACGUUACCCACAGAAGAAGCACCGGCUAACUCCGUGCCAGCAGCCGCGGUAAUACGGAGGGUGCAAGCGUUAAUCGGAAUUACUGGGCGUAAAGCGUGCGCAGGCGGUCUGUUAAGCGAG